CCUAAAUGCAGACUGCGGAAGGAGACAUUACAGAGUUAUACAACUCCCAUACCAUCUGUUAACCUACCCAGUUAUGCCUCGGCGUAAGCUCGGUUGGAGGCACCUGCAGCUACCCUGUAGUUGCGGACUGCCAACUCCAGCCGCGGCCCGCCGGCGGUACACUAAACUCUGUUUUAUUUUAUAUUCUGAGCGUCUUAUUUUAAUAAGUUAAAACUUUCAACAACGGAUCUCUUGGUUCUGGCAUCGAUGAAGAACGCAGCGAAAUGCGAUAAGUAAUGUGAAUUGCAGAAUUCAGUGAAUCAUCGAAUCUUUGAACGCACAUUGCGCCCAUCAGUAUUCUGGUGGGCAUGCCUGUUCGAGCGUCAUUUCAACCCUUAAGCCUAGCUUAGUGUUGGGAAUCUGCUGUACUGCAGUUCCUUAAAGACAGUGGCGGAGCGGCGGUAGUCCUCUGAGCGUAGUAAUUUAUUUCUCGCUUUUGUCAGGCUCUGUCCUCCCGCCAUAAAACCCCCAAUUUUUUAGUGGUUGACCUCGGAUCAGGUAGGAAUACCCGCUGAACUUAAGCAUAUCAUAGGCCCGGGAAGGAA
rnacentral:rRNA from 1 species